rnacentral:rRNA from 1 species
GGUUAAGCGACUAAGCGUACACGGUGGAUGCCCUGGCAGUCAGAGGCGAUGAAGGACGUGCUAAUCUGCGAUAAGCGUCGGUAAGGUGAUAUGAACCGUUAUAACCGGCGAUUUCCGAAUGGGGAAACCCAGUGUGAUUCGUCACACUAUCAUUAACUGAAUCCAUAGGUUAAUGAGGCGAACCGGGGGAACUGAAACAUCUAAGUACCCCGAGGAAAAGAAAUCAACCGAGAUUCCCCCAGUAGCGGCGAGCGAACGGGGAGGAGCCCAGAGCCUGAAUCAGUGUGUGUGUUAGUGGAAGCGUCUGGAAAGGCGCGCGAUACAGGGUGACAGCCCCGUACACAAAAAUGCACAUGCUGUGAGCUCGAUGAGUAGGGCGGGACACGUGGUAUCCUGUCUGAAUAUGGGGGGACCAUCCUCCAAGGCUAAAUACUCCUGACUGACCGAUAGUGAACCAGUACCGUGAGGGAAAGGCGAAAAGAACCCCGGCGAGGGGAGUGAAAAAGAACCUGAAACCGUGUACGUACAAGCAGUGGGAGCACAGAGCAAUCUGUGUGACUGCGUACCUUUUGUAUAAUGGGUCAGCGACUUAUAUUCUGUAGCAAGGUUAACCGAAUAGGGGAGCCGAAGGGAAACCGAGUCUUAACUGGGCGUUAAGUUGCAGGGUAUAGACCCGAAACCCGGUGAUCUAGCCAUGGGCAGGUUGAAGGUUGGGUAACACUAACUGGAGGACCGAACCGACUAAUGUUGAAAAAUUAGCGGAUGACUUGUGGCUGGGGGUGAAAGGCCAAUCAAACCGGGAGAUAGCUGGUUCUCCCCGAAAGCUAUUUAGGUAGCGCCUCGUGAAUUCAUCUCCGGGGGUAGAGCACUGUUUCGGCAAGGGGGUCAUCCCGACUUACCAACCCGAUGCAAACUGCGAAUACCGGAGAAUGUUAUCACGGGAGACACACGGCGGGUGCUAACGUCCGUCGUGAAGAGGGAAACAACCCAGACCGCCAGCUAAGGUCCCAAAGUCAUGGUUAAGUGGGAAACGAUGUGGGAAGGCCCAGACAGCCAGGAUGUUGGCUUAGAAGCAGCCAUCAUUUAAAGAAAGCGUAAUAGCUCACUGGUCGAGUCGGCCUGCGCGGAAGAUGUAACGGGGCUAAACCAUGCACCGAAGCUGCGGCAGCGACGCUGAUGCGUUGUUGGGUAGGGGAGCGUUCUGUAAGCCUGUGAAGGUGUGCUGUGAGGCAUGCUGGAGGUAUCAGAAGUGCGAAUGCUGACAUAAGUAACGAUAAAGCGGGUGAAAAGCCCGCUCGCCGGAAGACCAAGGGUUCCUGUCCAACGUUAAUCGGGGCAGGGUGAGUCGACCCCUAAGGCGAGGCCGAAAGGCGUAGUCGAUGGGAAACAGGUUAAUAUUCCUGUACUUGGUGUUACUGCGAAGGGGGGACGGAGAAGGCUAUGUUGGCCGGGCGACGGUUGUCCCGGUUUAAGCGUGUAGGCUGGUUUUCCAGGCAAAUCCGGAAAACUAAGGCUGAGGCGUGAUGACGAGGCACUACGGUGCUGAAGCAACAAAUGCCCUGCUUCCAGGAAAAGCCUCUAAGCAUCAGGUAACAUCAAAUCGUACCCCAAACCGACACAGGUGGUCAGGUAGAGAAUACCAAGGCGCUUGAGAGAACUCGGGUGAAGGAACUAGGCAAAAUGGUGCCGUAACUUCGGGAGAAGGCACGCUGAUAUGUAGGUGAAGUCCCUCGCGGAUGGAGCUGAAAUCAGUCGAAGAUACCAGCUGGCUGCAACUGUUUAUUAAAAACACAGCACUGUGCAAACACGAAAGUGGACGUAUACGGUGUGACGCCUGCCCGGUGCCGGAAGGUUAAUUGAUGGGGUCAGCGCAAGCGAAGCUCUUGAUCGAAGCCCCGGUAAACGGCGGCCGUAACUAUAACGGUCCUAAGGUAGCGAAAUUCCUUGUCGGGUAAGUUCCGACCUGCACGAAUGGCGUAAUGAUGGCCAGGCUGUCUCCACCCGAGACUCAGUGAAAUUGAACUCGCUGUGAAGAUGCAGUGUACCCGCGGCAAGACGGAAAGACCCCGUGAACCUUUACUAUAGCUUGACACUGAACAUUGAGCCUUGAUGUGUAGGAUAGGUGGGAGGCUUUGAAGUGUGGACGCCAGUCUGCAUGGAGCCGACCUUGAAAUACCACCCUUUAAUGUUUGAUGUUCUAACGUUGACCCGUAAUCCGGGUUGCGGACAGUGUCUGGUGGGUAGUUUGACUGGGGCGGUCUCCUCCUAAAGAGUAACGGAGGAGCACGAAGGUUGGCUAAUCCUGGUCGGACAUCAGGAGGUUAGUGCAAUGGCAUAAGCCAGCUUGACUGCGAGCGUGACGGCGCGAGCAGGUGCGAAAGCAGGUCAUAGUGAUCCGGUGGUUCUGAAUGGAAGGGCCAUCGCUCAACGGAUAAAAGGUACUCCGGGGAUAACAGGCUGAUACCGCCCAAGAGUUCAUAUCGACGGCGGUGUUUGGCACCUCGAUGUCGGCUCAUCACAUCCUGGGGCUGAAGUAGGUCCCAAGGGUAUGGCUGUUCGCCAUUUAAAGUGGUACGCGAGCUGGGUUUAGAACGUCGUGAGACAGUUCGGUCCCUAUCUGCCGUGGGCGCUGGAGAACUGAGGGGGGCUGCUCCUAGUACGAGAGGACCGGAGUGGACGCAUCACUGGUGUUCGGGUUGUCAUGCCAAUGGCACUGCCCGGUAGCUAAAUGCGGAAGAGAUAAGUGCUGAAAGCAUCUAAGCACGAAACUUGCCCCGAGAUGAGUUCUCCCUGACUCCUUGAGAGUCCUGAAGGAACGUUGAAGACGACGACGUUGAUAGGCCGGAUGUGUAAGCGCAGCGAUGCGUUGAGCUAACCGGUACUAAUGAACCGUGAGGCUUAACCUUAC